AAGUCGGAGGUGAAAUCCCACAGCUCAACUGUGGAACUGCCUUUGAUACUGUUUGACUUGAGUUUUAGUGAAGUGAUUGGAAUGUGUGGUGUAGCGGUGAAAUGCAUAGAUAUCACACAGAAUACCGAUUGCGAAGGCAGAUCACUAACUAUUUACUGACGCUCAUGAACGAAAGCGUGGGGAGCGAACAGGAUUAGAUACCCUGGUAGUCCACGCCGUAAACGAUGGAUGCUAGCUGUUGGACUUUUAUUGUUCAGAGGAGUGGCUAAACCAAUAAGAUCACCGCCUGGGGAGCACGGUGGCAAGGUUGAAACUGCAUGAAAUGGAGGG
rnacentral:rRNA from 1 species